AUGGCGGUCUCGGCUCUGUUUGCACAAAACAUCGGUGAGAAGAAGACCGGCCAUCUGAGGUCGCUGGAGAACGCAUCUGAAAAUCUCAAGCUUAUCAAGGCCGAUCUACUCGACUACGACGCGAUGGCGGCUGCCAUAGAGGGAUGCCAGGGAGUUUUCCAUGUCGCGAGCCCGGUUCCUAAGGGGGAGGUGACUGAUCCGGAGGUUGAAGUUCUGGGUCCUGCUGCUACUGGUACCAGGAAUGUACUGGAGGCUGCCUCCGCCGCCAAGGUUCGGCGGCUGGUCGUCGUGUCAUCCAUAGUCGCCGUCGAUAUCAACCCGAAAGAUUGGCCCACCGACAAGAUCAAAGAUGAAAGCAGUUGGUCAGACAGAGAGUUCUGCAGGAGCAACGAGAUCACCGCAGAAGAGGCGGCGCUCGAGUACGGGCGGCGGACCGGCCUGGAUGUGGUCACCCUCAACCCGGCGGUGGUGUUUGGUCCCCUGCUGCAGCCAACGGUGAACGCGAGCAGCCAGUUCCUCAUCUACUUCCUGAAAGGAGGCCCUGACCGGAUGAGGAACAAGCUGUGGCACAUAGUCGACGUGCGCGACACCGCCGACGCGCUGCUUCUUCUCUACGAGGCGCCCGAGGCCGCCGGCAGGCACAUCUGCGCCCCACAUGUCAUCACCGCCCGCGACCUGCUGGACUUGCUCAAGCGCAUGUACCCUGACUACCCUCACAUUAGCAAGGAAAGCAUCAGUGACAUGGAUCACCCGGCUCCUAUGACGACCGACAAGCUCCGGAAGCUGGGGUGGAGCUGCCGGUCGCUGGAGGAGACCAUCAGGGACAGCGUCGAGUUCUGCCAGCAGGCCGGGUUUCUGGACGAUGUGGAGGGGGCAGAGCCAUGCCGUUUCCCUUCUGUCUACAACAAGAUUUAG
rnacentral:rRNA from 1 species